UACGUAGGGGGCAAGCGUUGUCCGGAUUUAUUGGGCGUAAAGAGCUCGUAGGCGGUCUGUCGCGUCUGCUGUGAAAACUCAGGGCUUAACCCUGAGCUUGCAGUGGGUACGGGCAGACUAGAGUGCGGUAGGGGAGACUGGAAUUCCUGGUGUAGCGGUGAAAUGCGCAGAUAUCAGGAGGAACACCGGUGGCGAAGGCGGGUCUCUGGGCCGUAACUGACGCUGAGGAGCGAAAGCAUGGGGAGCGAACAGG
rnacentral:rRNA from 1 species